AUUGAACGCUGGCGGCAGGCCUAACACAUGCAAGUCGAACGGUAACAGGAAGAAGCUUGCUUCUUUGCUGACGAGUGGCGGACGGGUGAGUAAUGUCUGGGAAACUUCCUGAUGGAGGGGGAUAACUACUGGAAACGGUAGCUAAUACCGCAUAACGUCGCAAGACCAAAGAGGGGGACCUUCGGGCCUCUUGCCAUCGGAUGUGCCCAGAUGGGAUUAGCUAGUAGGUGGGGUAACGGCUCACCUAGGCGACGAUCCCUAGCUGGUCUGAGAGGAUGACCAGCCACACUGGAAGUGAGACACGGUCCAGACUCCUAAGGGAGGCAGCAGUGGGGAAUAUUGCACAAUGGGCGCAAGCCUGAUGCAGCCAUGCCGCGUGUAUGAAGAAGGCCUUCGGGUUGUAAAGUACUUUCAGCGGGGAGGAAGGGAGUAAAGUUAAUACCUUGGCUCAUUGACGUUACCCGCAGAAGAAGCACCGGCUAACUACGUG
rnacentral:rRNA from 1 species